CGAAAAUUGCAUAGGUAGGUAUAUUGACAUUGACUUUGUAAUUUGGCGGGACGAGUUUGUGCAGCUUUGUGCAGUAGUUUGUUGGUGUCGUGCGGUUAGGUCGGGUGUUAGAACGUUAGUUUAAACAGUAACAUUGUUUGGUUAACCUUUCGGAGCCAAAACAUUUGGCUGGCGUUAAAAUGGCGCUAAGAUAACAAGUGACACUCGACCGGCGGCAGUCGCGACAUGCUGCGAGCAUGACCAAGAGCAGCCUGCGGGUCCUGUGGUCGCGUCUCGGUCGUCGCUACCAACAGCUGGUUCUGCUGCUGGUGGUGGUGACCGCUGCGUGCGUCCUGUCACAAGCAUGGUGGAUCUCAAGGGUCACCAGCGCGCUGCUGCCGCCAUACCCUCAGGGUCAAGACCUCCGGCAUUACAGGAGAGAUAGGAACUUGAAGCGGUACUUGGACAAUAUCCAGCUGCUGAUAGAGCCCUCGUCUUCCCACCACCCCUGUGAGGGGACCGAAGAGGUUCCCCUACUGGUGCUGGUCUCCAGUGCUCCCUCCAACCUGGACAGCAGGCAGGCCAUCCGGCAGACCUGGGCGAGACAUGUACCGACAUUUUUCGUGAUGGGCCUGGAUGGGCCAGAUGUGGAUGAAAAGCUGGUAGACAUCUACAUCGAGGCGAAGCAGUACGGCGACAUGCUGGUCUACGACUUCGCGGACCACUACCAGAACCUCACCCUCAAGACGGCGCUGAUGCUGGAGUGGUCUUCGCACCGCUGUCCUCAGGCGCAGGCGCUGUUCAAGACCGAUGAUGACGUGUUCGUCAACCCCUGGAUGUUGGGGAAGGUGGUGAAGGAGCAUGUCAAUAGUCAGCUCAUAGGGUACAAGAUCAACAACAGCCUGGUGCACCGGGACGAGUACACCAAGUGGUACCUGCCUCGCUGGCUGUACCCUGACGAGGUCAUCCCGGAGUACCUCUCUGGGACGGGGUACAUUAUCAAUGGGGAAUACAUCGAAAGAAUACUCAAAGCGGCGUACAAAGUACCUCUCAUCAAUUUAGAAGACGUUUACCUUACACACAUCGUGGCAAAGAGGACCCUGCAUUUGACCCUCUCGCACGACCGAAGGCUGAGUCCCUACAAACCCUGGAUCAGGUCUGCCUGUUCUUACUGGUGGCUGGCCACAGCCCAUAGUUUGAGUCCGGACGAGGUCAUAUCCGCAUGGUCUAGCAUUUUACCUUUGAUCAAGCAGUUCAAAAAUGGCCGCGAUGUAUGUAACCUCUUUAGGUUCCUGUCAAGUUAUAUGUUUUUAUAUUAAUUUGUGUGUUAUAGGUGAGAUUAUCAUAGGAUCUAAGGGUAAUGUAUGGGUGCUUUCAGGCACGUUUGUUUUAGGUUUGUAAACGAAGGCCAUUAUGCGUCAGGAACGUGUAUUAUGUUAGGUUAAGCAAAUAGAAACCAGAAAUCAAUAUUGUUGAUGUAUCUUUUUAAUAAGUGUUUGUUGUGGAAGAACGGGGUCCCGUAGCACUAGUAGGUAGAAUACUUAAAAGGACACCUACCUAGCAUAAGUAUUAGUAUACAAGAAAUAAGAUACAGAUUACAGAGUAAUCAUUAUUGAAUUUUGCAUUUGACCAACAUUUCUAAGGUAACUGAUAGAAGAUUGUAGUCUAGUAGUUUUGAGUGGCAUAAUGUAACUAAAACGACAGAGUAUAGAAGUGCUCCGUCAAGGCACUCACAAAGUUAAGAUUUUAUCGGCACACAUCCUUUAUCUGAUAUUUUGACAUUAUUGUUUUGGACUUUAUAGUCCACUAGCUUUUGCCCACGGCUUCACCCGCGUGAAAUUACGUUUGUCACAGAUCGUCAUAAAUUAUAGCCUAUAUGAUAUUCUGGGUUAUAAACAGUAAUACUGUAAAGUUUCAUCAAAAUCCGUUCAGUAGUUUAUGCGUGAAAGAUUAACAAACAUCUAAACUUUCGCAAUAAUAAUAUUAGGUAGUAAGAUAUUUUCACUACUUAAAGGACUCGCAUCAUGUUGGUAAAGUUGGAUAACCUAUUAAAUCGAUUCAACUUGUCAUAUCUUUGUUCAAUACCCAAUGAUUGGCGUUUUGUAGUUACUCGUAUUAUGGGUUUACCAGUCGCAUGUUUUGGCAGACUAGGAUGUUUCAGUUAGGCCUAAUGUAAAAUUAACACGAAUGUCCUUGGCUUGUUUAAUUACAUUCAUUAAUAUGCACAAAGAGACCAUAUUAGCAUGUUUGAUGUAGGCUGAUCAUUCCAUUAUUUGAUAAUUACAAAAUUAUAAUAACUCUUAUUACCUAAUUAAAAUGAAAAGGUAGAGCGUAUUAAUAAUUUCUUUCUAGAUUAAGACUAGGCGCAGACCACCGAUUUUUAGUUGGCCGAUAGUUGGGCCCGAUUUUAAUUUGUAUGAAGAAUCGGCCAAAUCGAAUCGGCGUAAUGUGCGCACUUCCAUACAUGCUCAUACUGAUCAACUGCCCGACUAAACUAUCGGCCGACGAAAAAUCGAUGGUCUGCGCCUAGGCUAACGCCGCCGUUUCUUUAUGGACGUCGUACAUUUAUUUUAUCAACCUGGAAAGGGAUCGUAACCGUAUCAACUCGAG